UGUCUUUAAUUGCCAUCAUUGAGUUGGGCACUUUAAAGAGACUGCCGGUGUUUAAACCGGAGGAAGGUGGGGAUGACGUCAAGUCCUCACGGCCUUUAUGCCCAGGGCUACACACGUGCUACAAUGGGCGGUACAAAGAGAAGCAACCUCGCGAGGGUGAGCAAAUCUCAAAAAGCCGUUCUCAGUUCGGAUUGAAGUCUGCAACUCGACUUCAUGAAGUCGGAAUCGCUAGUAAUCGCGGAUCAGCAUGCCGCGGUGAAUACGUUCCCGGGCCUU
rnacentral:rRNA from 1 species